GUGUCAGCCGCCGCGGUAAUACAGAGGGUGCGAACGUUGCUCGGAAUUACUGGGCGUAAAGCGCGUGUAGGCGGGUCGGCAAGUCAGGCGUGAAAUCCCCAGGCUCAACCUGGGAACUGCGCUUGAAACUGCCGGUCUUGAGUAUCGGAGAGGGUGGCGGAAUUCCUGGUGUAGAGGUGAAAUUCGUAGAUAUCAGGAGGAACACCGGUGGCGAAGGCGGCCACCUGGACGAUUACUGACGCUGAGACGCGAAAGCGUGGGGAGCAAACAGGAUUAGAAACCCGCGUAGUCC
rnacentral:rRNA from 1 species